CAAACCAAGGUAAGUCCAGAAAGGGGGUUUUUGUAUCAGCUUCUUCAGGUUCCAAAAAAAAAACAUGGGCUCAUGGGGGAAAUUAGCAGCAAAGGCCCAAGGUCUACCAAAAAAAUGAAGAGCCGUUUGUGCUGGAGAACCAGGUCAAAGUUGACCCAGGUUUCUACUUUAGAAAAUGAUCGGGUUCAUAGAACCCUAGUUUCUCUUUCUCGCAAUUCUAAUCUCACACUCAAACCCUUUUCAAAUUAUCUCUACUUCUCAUCCUCACAAUCGAUUUUUUAUGUUAACAACAACAAUAAACACUCAUAA